GGCAUCCAGUUGUUGCUAUCUUUGGCACCUCCAUAGAAGGGCAACAAUCAGCAGGGCUGGUUACUAAAUUCUGCAUCACACUAGCUCAGCCCUCCUCCCUGACACUGGUGUGCAAAUCUGCUCAUUGAGAUUGACCAAAGCAGUAUCCUUUUAACGGAGCCCUUUCUGAAACCUUGCACUGAAACAUUUCUAACCUACUUGGGAGUACAAGGAGGUGACAGCAUGCACACUCAAGUUCUGGAUUCGAAGGCGGUCUUCCUCUGCACCGAUCUGAGGGGUGGGCCGGACACUCGGACACUCGCAGCAGCAAGAGCGCCCCCUCAGGCCAGCCCGUGUGCAAGGAGGGGCCCCAUCAGACCUCCCGGAGAUGUGGAAA